rnacentral:rRNA from 1 species
GCUGGCGGCAGGCCUAACACAUGCAAGUCGAGCGGUAGAGAGAAGCUUGCUUCUCUUGAGAGCGGCGGACGGGUGAGUAAAGCCUAGGAAUCUGCCUGGUAGUGGGGGAUAACGUUCGGAAACGGACGCUAAUACCGCAUACGUCCUACGGGAGAAAGCAGGGGACCUUCGGGCCUUGCGCUAUCAGAUGAGCCUAGGUCGGAUUAGCUAGUUGGUGAGGUAAUGGCUCACCAAGGCGACGAUCCGUAACUGGUCUGAGAGGAUGAUCAGUCACACUGGAACUGAGACACGGUCCAGACUCCUACGGGAGGCAGCAGUGGGGAAUAUUGGACAAUGGGCGAAAGCCUGAUCCAGCCAUGCCGCGUGUGUGAAGAAGGUCUUCGGAUUGUAAAGCACUUUAAGUUGGGAGGAAGGGCAUUAACCUAAUACGUUAGUGUUUUGACGUUACCGACAGAAUAAGCACCGGCUAACUCUGUGCCAGCAGCCGCGGUAAUACAGAGGGUGCAAGCGUUAAUCGGAUUUACUGGG